rnacentral:rRNA from 1 species
GAUGAACGCUGGCGGCGUGCCUAAUACAUGCAAGUCGAGCGAACAGACGAGGAGCUUGCUCCUCUGACGUUAGCGGCGGACGGGUGAGUAACACGUGGAUAACCUACCUAUAAGACUGGGAUAACUUCGGGAAACCGGAGCUAAUACCGGAUAAUAUAUUGAACCGCAUGGUUCAAUAGUGAAAGACGGUUUUGCUGUCACUUAUAGCUGGAUCCGCGCCGCAUUAGAUAGUUGGUAAGGUAACGGCUUACCAAGGCAACGAUGCGUAGCCGACCUGAGAGGGUGAUCGGCCACACGGGAACGGAGACACGGUCCAGACUCCUACGGGAGGCAGCAGUAGGGAAUCUUCCGCAAAGGGCGAAAGCCUGACGGAGCAACGCCGCGUGAGUGAUGAAGGUCUUCGGAUCGUAAAACUCUGUUAUUAGGGAAGAACAAAUGUGUAAGUAACUAUGCACGUCUUGACGGUACCUAAUCAGAAAGCCACGGCUAACUACGUG